UAAGGACCCUGGCAGACCUGGAACGGGAGUCUUAGCAUGGGCCUCCCAGAUCUUUCUAACCCAGGACCUACUUGGAAAGGCAUGCUGGGUCUCUUCCACAGACUUUAAGCUCUCCCUACACCAGAAUUUAGCCCCUGUCUGGCUUUAAAAUGUCCUGCCCUGCUUUUUAUGAGUGGAUACCCCCAGCCCUAUGUGGAUUAGCAAGUUAAGUAAUGACACUCAGAGACAGUUCCAUCUUUGUCCAUAACUUGCUCUGUGAUCCAGUGUGCAUCACUCAAACAGACUAUCUCUUUUCUCCUACAAAACAGACAGCUGCCUCUCAGAUAAUGUUGGGGGCAUAGGAGGAAUGGGAAGCCCGCUAAGAGAACAGAAGUCAAAAACAGUUGGGUUCUAGAUGGGAGGAGGUGUGCGUGCACAUGUAUGUUUGUGUUUCAGGUCUUGGAAUCUCAGCAGGUCAGUCACAUUGCAGUGUGUCGCUUCACCUGGCUCCCUCUUUUAAAGAUUUUCCUUCCCUCUUUCCAACUCCCUGGGUCCUGGAUCCUCCAACAGUGUCAGGGUUAGAUGCCUUUUAUGGGCCACUUGCAUUAGUGUCCUGAUAGAGGCUUAAUCACUGCUCAGAAACUGCCUUCUGCCCACUGGCAAAGGGAGGCAGGGGAAAUACAUGAUUCUAAUUAAUGGUCCAGGCAGAGAGGACACUCAGAAUUUCAGGACUGAAGAGUAUACAUGUGUGUGAUGGUAAAUGGGCAAAAAUCAUCCCUUGGCUUCUCAUGCAUAAUGCAUGGGCACACAGACUCAAACCCUCUCUCACACACAUACACAUAUACAUUGUUAUUCCACACACAAGGCAUAAUCCCAGUGUCCAGUGCACAUGCAUACACGCACACAUUCCCUUCCUAGGCCACUGUAUUGCUUUCCUAGGGCAUCUUCUUAUAAGACACCAGUCGUAUAAGGAGCCCACCCCACUCAUCUGAGCUUAUCAACCAAUUACAUUAGGAAAGACUGUAUUUCCUAGUAAGGUCACAUUCAGUAGUACUGAGGGUUGGGACUUCAACACAGCUUUUUGGGGGAUCAUAAUUCAACCCAUGACAGCCACUGAGAUUAUUAUAUCUCCAGAGAAUAAAUGUGUGGAGUUAAAAGGAAGAUACAUGUGGUACAAGGGGUGGUAAGGCAAGGGUAAAAGGGGAGGGAGGGGAUUGAACUAGACACAGACACAUGAGCAGGACUUUGGGGAGUGUGUUUUAUAUCUGUCAGAUGCCUAGAACAGCACCUGAAAUAUGGGACUCAAUCAUUUUAGUCCCCUUCUUUCUAUAAGUGUGUGUGUGCGGAUAUGUGUGCUAGAUGUUCUUGCUGUGUUAGGAGGUGAUAAACAUUUGUCCAUGUUAUAUAGGUGGAAAGGGUCAGACUACUAAAUUGUGAAGACAUCAUCUGUCUGCAUUUAUUGAGAAUGUGAAUAUGAAACAAGCUGCAAGUAUUCUAUAAAUGUUCACUGUUAUUAGAUAUUGUAUGUCUUUGUGUCCUUUUAUUCAUGAAUUCUUGCACAUUAUGAAGAAAGAGUCCAUGUGGUCAGUGUCUUACCCGGUGUAGGGUAAAUGCACCUGAUAGCAAUAACUUAAGCACACCUUUAUAAUGACCCUAUAUGGCAGAUGCUCCUGAAUGUGUGUUUCGAGCUAGAAAAUCCGGGAGUGGCCAAUCGGAGAUUCGUUUCUUAUCUAUAAUAGACAUCUGAGCCCCUGGCCCAUCCCAUGAAACCCAGGCUGUAGAGAGGAUUGAGGCCUUAAGUUUUGGGUUAAAUGACAGUUGCCAGGUGUCGCUCAUUAGGGAAAGGGGUUAAGUGAAAAUGCUGUAUAAACUGCAUGAUGUUUGCAGGCAGUUGUGGUUUUCCUGCCCAGCCUGCCACCACCGGGCCAUGCGGAUAUGUUGUCCAGCCCAACACCACAGGACCAUUUCUGUAUGUAAGACAAUUCUAUCCAGCCCGCCACCUCUGGACUCCCUCCCCUGUAUGUAAGCCCUCAAUAAAACCCCACGUCUC
rnacentral:lncRNA from 1 species